rnacentral:rRNA from 1 species
AUAAGAUCAAGCUACAAAGGGCAUAUGGUGAAUGCCUUGGCACCAGUAGCCGAUGAAGGACGUGAUAAGCUGCGAUAAGCUUCGGGUAGGCGCAAAUAGCCUGUGAUCCGGAGAUUUCCGAAUGGGGGAACCUGCAUACCUAACGGUAUGUACCAUAAACUGAAUACAUAGGUUUAUGGGGGUAUACCCGGGGAACUGAAACAUCUAAGUACCCGGAGGAAGAGAAAGAAAAAUCGAUUUUCUUAGUAGCGGCGAGCGAAAAGGAAAGAGCCCAAACCAGAAAUUUAUUUCUGGGGUUGUGGAUAGACCAUAACGAAGACAGACUUUAAUCGAAGAGAGCUGGAACGCUCUACCACAGAAGGUAAUAGUCCUGUAGGUAAAAAAUUAUGUCUUUUAGGUCUAAUCCGGAGUACCACGAGACACGUGAAACCUUGUGGGAAGCAGGGAGGACCACCUCCCAAGGCUAAAUACUAACUGGUGACCGAUAGUGAAGCAGUACCGUGAGGGAAAGRUGAAAAGAACCCCGKAAGGGGAGUGAAAUAGAACCUGAAACCGUAUGCUUACAAACAGUGGGAGCACGUUAAUGUGUGACCGCGUGCUUUUUGUAGAACGAGCCAGCGAGUUACGGUAUGUAGCAAGGUUAAGCACUUAAGGUGCGUAGCCGAAGGGAAACCGAGUCUGAAUAGGGCGACUAGUUGCAU